GGGUGUAUAGCUCAGUGGUUAGAGCACCCGCAUACGUAUCGGAAGGUCGGGGGUUCGACUCCCUCUGCCUCCA
rnacentral:tRNA from 1 species